UGUGUGUGUGUGUGUGAUAUAUCAGACGUCACUGCCUGCCGUUGGUCCAGUUGACUUUAGAGGAGCCGUUGGUUCUGUAGGAGGUGAACUGGACUGCACCCAGUUUAUUCCGGGACAUCCCACCUCACUGUACCGGGACACUGUUUUAUUUUGACUUCCCUGCAAUAAGCAGCUGCACACCGGGGCGGAGGGAGGGAGAGUCGCGGUGAACGUGACGUCCUGACGCCGCCCGCCGGCUCCGCUGAACCGCCUCACCUCCCCGCUUUGUCCGGAGGUCCUCAGCGGGGUAACUGAGCCAUCCAGCGGUCUGAUUGGAGCCUAAUCCUGUGUUAGAAAGUGUGUGAUGAUGGAGAAGAAGAGGACGGAGUGUCCCGCGCUGCCGCCCGGCUGGAGGAAAGAAGAAGUGAUCAGGAAGUCCGGGCUGAGUGCCGGGAAGAGCGACGUCUACUACUACAGUCCUUCAGGGAAGAAGUUCAGAAGCAAGCCUCAGUUGUCUCGUUACCUUGGAAACACGGUGGAUCUUGGAUGUUUCGACUUCCGGACGGGGAAGAUGAUGCCUGGAAAACUGCAGAAGAACAAACACAGACUCAGGCAUGACCCGCUCAGCCUGGCCAAGGGGGGGAAAGUGGACCUGAACACAACGCUGCCAAUCAGACAGACAGCAUCCAUCUUUAAACAGCCUGUUACCAAGGUUACAAGUCACCCCAGCAACAAGGUGAAGACAGACCUGCAGAGAUCUAGCGAGCAGCCCCGACAGUUGUUCUGGGAGAGGAGGUUGAAAGGUCUGAGGUCAUCAGACAUCACAGAGGAAGUGCUGCGGACCCUGGACCUGCCCAAAAGCCUGCAGAGUGUUGGACCAGACUCCAGUGAUGACACAUUGCUGUCAGCCAUCGCCAGCGCUCUGCACAUGAGCUCUGCUCCAAUCACGGGCCAGAUGUCUAUGGCUGCGGAGAAGAACCCAGCCGUCUGGCUGAACACGAACCAGCCACUCUGCAGGGCCUUCACCGUCACCGACCAGCACAUCCGGUUAGAUGUGUAUGAUCAUACCACUCGGGUCCAAAUCAUAAAUAACUGUUGAAAAGAUGGAGCCCCGUCGCCCUGUUGCUGGGGAGCAGGAGCUCAAAGUUCAUCAGGCCAGGAGGAGUCUGGAGGAGGCGCUGAUGGCAGACGGUUUGGCUCGGGCCACCGAAAACACCCGGGAGCUGCUGGAGGGGGGCAAGGCCUGAAGACAGAAAGAAAUUCUGUUCUGAUGGUGAAUCCCGACAAACCAAAAGCAGAGCGCCCACAGACUCUCCUGCUGCCUCAGUGGGAGUUUUUUCAACCCUCCGGUUCAGGAAACCAUUCUCAGGAUGACAUCACACAUCUCUCAGCAUGUGAAACUAAAGCCCUUUUGUAGAGCAACAGAAGCAACAGUGGGAACAACAACCGCAGCCACAAUGGCAUCAGCAAUAUCAGCAGAGACAGAAACUGCACAGUAGCAAUAAGAUGUCCACCAGCUCAGAGCAACCAAAGCCUUUAAUCCUCUCUGUACAUACUAGACAACAACGCUUACCUUCUGUACGUUUUAAAUUCCGAUAUUACUUUUGUGUCGUUUUUAAAUAAAGCUGAUUAAAAUGAUAUCAGAAAAGACACUGAAGAACAGCACAGAGACACUUUGCAAACUGCUGGACGGCUUGUGCUAACGUGCUAACUCUCACUGCUCUUCACUGGUUUCUGAUGUCUGAGGUGUCAGAUUGUGCUCAGUUUUAAGGAAGUCUUCAAGGGUUUUAAUUAAAUGAUGAGAAUAUGAAAUAAAACAAUUGCUUAUUUAAGACAAAUUUUAUAUCUUGAAAGAACAAACAUUUACAUUUCUGGGACUAAAGGAAAUAAAUGAUUUUAUUCACAAUUA